rnacentral:rRNA from 1 species
GUGAGGGGCAUGUGAGGGCUGUCGCUGACUCAAAGUCGUGCACGCCCGAGUGUGUCCUCUCGCAUAAUAAUCCAUCUCACCCUUUGUGCAUCGCCGCGUGGGCACCCUUUGGGAUCAUCUCGGAGGGGGCUCGCGUUUUCACACAAACCCCCCUUUUAAAAGUGUAGAAUGACCUCAUUUAUGCGCUAACACGCAAUCAAUACAACUUUCAACAACGGAUCUCUUGGCUCUCGCAUCGAUGAAGAACGCAGCGAAAUGCGAUACGUAAUGUGAAUUGCAGAAUUCAGUGAAUCAUCGAAUCUUUGAACGCACCUUGCGCCCCUUGGUAUUCCGAGGGGCACACCCGUUUGAGUGUCGUGAAAACCUCAACCUCCUUGGUUUCUUCUGGAGACCAAAGGCAGGCUUGGACUUUGGAGGCCUUUGCUGGAACCUCUCUCUUUUGAAGGCCAGCUCCUCUUAAACGAAUUAGCAGGGUCCUCUUUGCCGAUCCUCGACGUGUGAUAAGAUGUUUCCAUGUCUUGGUUUCUGGCUCUGUCACCUUUGGGACCCGCUUCUAACCGUCUUGACCUUGCGUCGAGACAACGUUCGAGCAUGUCUCCCUUCUCGGGAAGCUCCCUCGACCCCACGAACCCUUGACCUCAAAUCGGGUGAGACUACCCGCUGAACUUAAGCAUAUCAAUAAGCGGAGGAAAAGAAACUAACAAGGAUUCCCCUAGUAACUGCGAGUGAAGCGGGAAAAGCUCAAAUUUAAAAUCUGGCGGUCUUUGGCCGUCCGAGUUGUAAUUUAGAGAAGCGUCUUCCGCGCUGGACCGUGU